rnacentral:rRNA from 1 species
GAUGAACGCUGGCGGCGUGCCUAACACAUGCAAGUCGAGCGAUUUACUUCGGUAAAGAGCGGCGGACGGGUGAGUAACGCGUGGGUAACCUGCCCUGUACACACGGAUAACAUACCGAAAGGUAUGCUAAUACGAGAUAAUAUACUUUUAUCGCAUGGUAGAAGUAUCAAAGCUUUUGCGGUACAGGAUGGACCCGCGUCUGAUUAGCCAGUUGGUAAGGUAACGGCUUACCAAGGCGACGAUCAGUAGCCGACCUGAGAGGGUGAUCGGCCACAUUGGAACUGAGACACGGUCCAAACUCCUACGGGAGGCGGCAGUGGGGAAUAUUGCACAAUGGGCGAAAGCCUGAUGCAGCAACGCCGCGUGAGCGAUGAAGGCCUUCGGGUCGUAAAGCUCUGUCCUCAAGGAAGAUAAUGACGGUACUUGAGGAGGAAGCCCCGGCUAACUACGUGCCAGCCGCCGCCGUAA